ACGGGAGGCAGCAGUGGGGAAUAUUGCACAAUGGGGGAAACCCUGAUGCAGCGACGCCGCGUGAGUGAAGAAGUAUUUCGGUAUGUAAAGCUCUAUCAGCAGGAAAGAAAAUGACGGUACCUGGCUAAGAAGCCCCGGCUAACUACGUGCCAGCAGCCGCGGUAAUACGUAGGGGGCAAGCGUUAUCCGGAUUUACUGGGUGUAAAGGGAGCGUAGACGGUAAGGCAAGUCUGAAGUGAAAUGCCAGGGCUCAACCCUGGAACUGCUUUGGAAACUGUCCUACUAGAGUGCAGGAGAGGUAAGUGGAAUUCCUAGUGUAGCGGUGAAAUGCGUAGAUAUUAGGAGGAACACCAGUGGCGAAGGCGGCUUACUGGACUGUAACUGACGUUGAGGCUCGAAAGCGUGGGGAGCAAACAGGAUUAGAUACCCUGGUA
rnacentral:rRNA from 2 species